GUGGGGAAUAUUGGACAAUGGGCGAAAGCCUGAUCCAGCCAUGCCGCGUGUGUGAAGAAGGUCUUCGGAUUGUAAAGCACUUUAAGUUGGGAGGAAGGGCAGUAAGUUAAUACCUUGCUGUUUUGACGUUACCGACAGAAUAAGCACCGGCUAACUUCGUGCCAGCAGCCGAGGUAAUACGAAGGGUGCAAGCGUUAAUCGGAAUUACUGGGCGUAAAGCGCGCGUAGGUGGUUUUGUAAGUUGGAGGUGAAAUCCCCGGGCUCAACCGAGGAACUGCCUCCAAAACUGCAUUACUAGAGUACGGUAGAGGGUAGUGGAAUUUCCUGUGUAGCGUUGAAAUGCGUAGAUAUAGGAAGGAACACCAUUGGCGAAGGCGACUACCUGGACUGAUACUGACACUGAGGUGCGAAAGCGUGGGGAGCAAACAGGAUUAGAAACCCGGGUAGUCU
rnacentral:rRNA from 1 species